UGUGAACUAAUCAAAUUUUUCGACGUUGUCAAAUUUGAAAAUUAACAAGAAUAAUCAAAUUUAUGUAAGGUGCUAAUUCUUUACUGAAACUAUAGCUAAUACCAAAAAGUUACUAAGGCUUGCCUCCUAUUAUGAGACGGAAGUCGAAACACAUAGUGAAUCUUUUUGGGCAAAACGAUAUUAAGUUAGAUGGCGAUAGGCUUGUCUCCCUGCCUCCUAUUAUGGGAGGGAAAACAGCGAAAAGUGGGUACCCUGGUUAUGGCCCAGCCUAGUCUUUCAGGGAUAAAGAGAAACUUUUUUACAACUAUCCAGGGAGUUGGUGUCACCAUAACUUGUGGUUCGGGAUAUUUAACAUUGCUGGUGCGUCAUUUCUUCCCUAACCCGGCCAGGCCCUGCGCAGUGGACAGGGUAGCCAGGGCAAUCCUGUCAG